rnacentral:sRNA from 1 species
GGCUUCUCUGAGUUUAGACCAUCCAUCUGCCAAGGAAAACCAAGCCCUGAGACUGAUAGAGAUGAGAGAAGAGAAUGGUAAUGCCCCCAAAACAGAGCAGGCAGGAAGUUUGAAGCCUCUGAGGGAUACAGGAAAAUCUAACCUCAAAGAGAAGAAAAUAAAUAUCAACAAAGUUGUGUCUGGGCUUGGGUGGCAAGUGUAUGACUCCAAAUGUUAUGCUGCUCCAGCAGAACCAGUCACUCUUGUGGAAGCCAAGGAAUGGGAACAGAAGAAUAUGAAAUCAGUGGUACUGAUCAUCAGUCUUAAUAUCCAAAUGAAUAUCAUGGUACU